rnacentral:tRNA from 1 species
GCGGACGUGGCGGAACUGGCAGACGCGCUGGAUUUAGGUUCCAGUGCCCGCAAGGGCGUGUGGGUUCAACUCCCGCCGUCCGCACCA